rnacentral:rRNA from 1 species
GACGAACGCUGGCGGCGUGCUUAACACAUGCAAGUCGAACGGAAAGGCCCUGCUUUUGUGGGGUGCUCGAGUGGCGAACGGGUGAGUAACACGUGAGUAACCUGCCCUUGACUUUGGGAUAACUUCAGGAAACUGGGGCUAAUACCGGAUAGGAGCUCCUGCUGCAUGGUGGGGGUUGGAAAGUUUCGGCGGUUGGGGAUGGACUCGCGGGUUAUCAGCUUGUUGGUGGGGUAGUGGCUUACCAAGGCUUUGACGGGUAGCCGGCCUGAGAGGGUGACCGGCCACAUUGGGACUGAGAUACGGCCCAGACUCCUACGGGAGGCAGCAGUGGGGAAUAUUGCACAAUGGGCGGAAGCCUGAUGCAGCAACGCCGCGUGCGGGAUGACGGCCUUCGGGUUGUAAACCGCUUUCGCCUGCGACGAAGCGUGAGUGACGGUAAUGGGUAAAGAAGCACCGGCUAACUACGUG